UACGAAGGGGGCUAGCGUUGCUCGGAAUUACUGGGCGUAAAGGGCGCAUAGGCGGCACUGUUAGUCAGGCGUGAAAGUCCUGGGCUCAACCUGGGAACUGCGCUUGAUACGGCAGAGCUAGAGGAUGGAAGAGGCUCGCGGAAUUCCCAGUGUAGAGGUGAAAUUCGUAGAUAUUGGGAAGAACACCGGUGGCGAAGGCGGCGAGCUGGUCCAUUACUGACGCUGAGGCGCGACAGCGUGGGGAGCAAACAGG
rnacentral:rRNA from 1 species